UCUGGACAGGGAACUUUUUUCCCAUGAGGUUAUAUUGCAGCUGUCUGUUUUCUACCGCUCAUUCAGUAACACCUUCGUUUUCUUGGCUCUUUGUCUUAGCUAUGGUUUAAUUGUGUCAAAGAAAUGUGUCCAGUAACUGUGCAGCUCCACCAACUGAGAGAUGGAGUCAAUGAGGAAUCUCUCAUCCAAUGCUAGCCUAUGCUAAUUGUACGGUCAAAGACUCAAUAUACGCCAGGACAAUGGAAUAUUUAUUUUAUUUUCAACAGGGACUCGUUUAGUUAUUGUUAUUUACCGUAUGCUUUAUACCAAAGGAACAACAAUUGAAUAUCUAAAAAGAACCAAGAUUAUCGCAUCCGGAAUACCCACAAGCGAAAUGAUGGAUUAUAAACAAAGGAAUUUUCUAGCUUGGAUGGAAGAAUGGAGGACGGAACAAAGGGAAGGAGUACAGAAGUUGUCCAGCCUGCUGAUUAAGAAAUGUGCUGAACCCUUGUGUCCUGAUUCAACAGACACCAACCUUGGUGAGUCUUGCAAAGUUCCUCCCAUUUCUCUUGCUUAUUCUUCCUGUCGGUCACUCAAACUCACACACGUGCGCAGUUGGAGAAGUAGAGAUUUGUCUAUUACACUGGUUUCUAACAGUGUUUGUUGCAGUAAGGAUCAGAUGGACACAACUUUUAAAAAAGGAGAAUAUUUAAUUGUCUCUUUACACAUAAACCUCUAUCUGGGACAAUGUCCUU